GACGAACGCUGGCGGCGUGCUUAACACAUGCAAGUCGAACGGAAAGGCCCUGCUUUUGUGGGGUGCUCGAGUGGCGAACGGGUGAGUAACACGUGAGUAACCUGCCCUUGACUUUGGGAUAACUUCAGGAAACUGGGGCUAAUACCGGAUAGGAGCUCCUGCUGCAUGGUGGGGGUUGGAAAGUUUCGGCGGUUGGGGAUGGACUCGCGGCUUAUCAGCUUGUUGGUGGGGUAGUGGCUUACCAAGGCUUUGACGGGUAGCCGGCCUGAGAGGGUGACCGGCCACAUUGGGACUGAGAUACGGCCCAGACUCCUACGGGAGGCAGCAGUGGGGAAUAUUGCACAAUGGGCGGAAGCCUGAUGCAGCAACGCCGCGUGCGGGAUGACGGCCUUCGGGUUGUAAACCGCUUUCGCCUGUGACGAAGCGUGAGUGACGGUAAUGGGUAAAGAAGCACCGGCUAACUACGUGCCAGCAGCCGCGGUGAUACGUAGGGUGCGAGCGUUGUCCGGAUUUAUUGGGCGUAAAGGGCUCGUAGGUGGUUGAUCGCGUCGGAAGUGUAAUCUUGGGGCUUAACCCUGAGCGUGCUUUCGAUACGGGUUGACUUGAGGAAGGUAGGGGAGAAUGGAAUUCCUGGUGGAGCGGUGGAAUGCGCAGAUAUCAGGAGGAACACCAGUGGCGAAGGCGGUUCUCUGGGCCUUUCCUGACGCUGAGGAGCGAAAGCGUGGGGAGCGAACAGGCUUAGAUACCCUGGUAGUCCACGCUGUAAACGGUGGGUACUAGGUGUGGGGUCCAUUCCACGGGUUCCGUGCCGUAGCUAACGCUUUAAGUACCCCGCCUGGGGAGUACGGCCGCAAGGCUAAAACUCAAAGGAAUUGACGGGGCCCCGCACAAGCGGCGGAGCAUGCGGAUUAAUUCGAUGCAACGCGUAGAACCUUACCUGGGUUUGACAUGGAUCGGGAGCGCUCAGAGAUGGGUGUGCCUCUUUUGGGGUCGGUUCACAGGUGGUGCAUGGCUGUCAUCAGCUCGUGUCGUGAGAUGUUGGGUUAAGUCCCGCAACGAGCGCAACCCUUGUUCACUGUUGCCAGCACGUUAUGGUGGGGACUCAGUGGAGACCGCCGGGGUCAACUCGGAGGAAGGUGGGGAUGACGUCAAGUCAUCAUGCCCCUUAUGUCCAGGGCUUCACGCAUGCUACAAUGGCUGGUACAGAGAGUGGCGAGCCUGUGAGGGUGAGCGAAUCUCGGAAAGCCGGUCUCAGUUCGGAUUGGGGUCUGCAACUCGACCUCAUGAAGUCGGAGUCGCUAGUAAUCGCAGAUCAGCAACGCUGCGGUGAAUACGUUCCCGGGGCU
rnacentral:rRNA from 1 species